AAACGUAGGAGACGAACGUUAUCCGGAGUUACUGGGCGUAAAGGGCGUGUAGGCGGUAUGCUAAGUCUGGCGUGAAAGCUCUCGGCUAAACCGGGAGAGGUCGUUGGAUACUGGCAAACUAGAGGAUGGUAGAGGCGUGUGGAAUUCCCGGUGUAGUGGUGGAAUGCGUAGAUAUCGGGGGGAAUACCAGUGGCGAAAGCGGCACCCUAGCCUUUGACUGACGCUCAUGUGCGAAAGCGUGGGGAGC
rnacentral:rRNA from 1 species